rnacentral:rRNA from 1 species
GCGAAAGCGUGGGGAGCAAACAGGCUUAGAUACCCUGGUAGUCCACGCUGUAAACGGUGGGUACUAGGUGUGGGGUCCAUUCCACGGGUUCCGUGCCGUAGCUAACGCUUUAAGUACCCCGCCUGGGGAGUACGGCCGCAAGGCUAAAACUCAAAGGAAUUGACGGGGCCCCGCACAAGCGGCGGAGCAUGCGGAUUAAUUCGAUGCAACGCGUAGAACCUUACCUGGGUUUGACAUGGAUCGGGAGCGCUCAGAGAUGGGUGUGCCUCUUUUGGGGUCGGUUCACAGGUGGUGCAUGGCUGUCGUCAGCUCGUGUCGUGAGAUGUUGGGUUAAGUCCCGCAACGAGCGCAACCCUUGUUCACUGUUGCCAGCACGUUAUGGUGGGGACUCAGUGGAGACCGCCGGGGUCAACUCGGAGGAAGGUGGGGAUGACGUCAAGUCAUCAUGCCCCUUAUGUCCAGGGCUUCGCGCAUGCUACAAUGGCUGGUACAGAGAGUGGCGAGCCUGUGAGGGUGAGCGAAUCUCGGAAAGCCGGUCUCAGUUCGGAUUGGGGUCUGCAACUCGACCUCAUGAAGUCGGAGUCGCUAGUAAUCGCAGAUCAGCAACGCUGCGGUGAAUACGUUCCCGGGCCUUGUACACACCGCC